GCUGUGUCUCUGGCAAAGGUGCAUUCUUUGUGGACCAAGACCUACCUACAGCCCUGGAGCACACACAGUUGCCAGGAGGGCAAGCAGAAAAACCACCAGUGGAUCAUUAAGAGUCAUGAGUCAUCCCUGAAGAGGAAUAUUAUACAGUCAUCUUCCAUGUUUGGUUUGAACCCACAUACCAAGCCUACCCAUCCAUACACAAAGUCAGGCAUUUUAUUCCUCAUUUAGCUGACUGAACAAAAGCCCCAUGUGGGCAUAUAUGGAAGCUAAGUGAAGUGACUAGUGAAACCAUGAAGCACAGCGAUCUCUUUAGUCAACAGAUUCUGUAUUUGAAAAUUAGCUUUGCAACAUGAACU